rnacentral:lncRNA from 1 species
AGUAAGAAGGGGGAUAGAGUAGACAGGUAGGCGGCGGAUAGAUAAGGUAGGGAGCGGUGAAGGAGAGAAAGAGUAUGAGUAACGCGGGUGGCCAAAAAGAAGGGGCGAACAGGGAAGAGGAGGAGAAAAAGAAAGGUAGGCCGGGGGCAGUAGCAGCGUUAGGGAGGAAUAGGAGGCAUAGCCUGGGAUCGGAAGAGCAUCGAGUAGGGA